GAAGUUCGCCAGGCAGUCGCUGCGUACCUUGUGUGCGUGGAGGAAAGUCCGGGCCCCGCAGAGCAGGAUGCCGGCUAACGGCCGGGCGCCGUGAGGCGACGGAAAGUGCAACAGAAAGCAAACCGCCGAUGGCCUGUUCUCAGGCACAGGUAAGGGUGAAAUGGUGGGGUAAGAGCCCACCGCAGGACUGGCAACAGGACUGGCACGGUAAACCCCAUCCGGGGCAAGGCCAAAUAGGGGAGCAAUGGCGUGGCUCGCGCUGCUCCCGGGUAGGCUGCUAGAGCGCCGUGGUAACACGGCCCCCAGAGGAAUGACUGCCCGGCGGUUGCGGCCCACAGGUCGCGGCCGCUCGACAAAACCCGGCUUAUCGGCGAACUUCCCUU
rfam:Azoarcus sp. CIB, complete genome.